rnacentral:rRNA from 1 species
AACGUAGGGGGCGAGCGUUAUCCGGAAUUACUGGGCGUAAAGGGCGUCUAGGCGGUGCACUAAGUCCUGCGUGAAAGCUCCCGGCUCAACUGGGAGAGCGCGUGGGGGACUGGUGAGCUAGAGACUCGGAGAGGGGUGUGGAAUUCCCGGUGGAGUGGUGAAAUGCGUUGAGAUCGGGAGGAACACCAGUGGCGAAGGCGGCACCCUGGCCGACGUCUGACGCUGAAGCGCGACAGCGUGGGGAGCAAACGGG